rnacentral:lncRNA from 1 species
GGAUUUAGGUGAACAGCUUAAAUAGAUUUUACAGCGACACAAUGUUUUAUAUAAAAGGAAAAUAGUAACAAGCAAAUAAAAUAAAUAAAUAAAUUGUUUGGCUGUGUUAAAUCAGUGUAUUUAUAUUAUGCGUCACACACAGUAAAUACGUAAAAUCCCUGACGGGAAACGUUUACGUUUUGCAUUACCGAUCAAAACGCAGCGCACCAACUCAAUGCAGCUCACUUGUCCGAGGUUAAUUAAAUCAGCGCAGCCAACAGGUGCAUGCUGGGCGCAAGCUAGUCGCCCAUGGCUAACCCUACUGUGGGUAGCUAGCUAGGUAGCUAGCCAGGUAGCUAGCUAGUGCCCUGGUCAGCCUUUAAAUGUUUGUUUUUUAUUACAACUGGGCAGCGUCAUGAUGCACCUUGGGAUCAAAAUCGUUGUUCGAUGCCCAUCCUUGGUUAUAUGCGCGAUGCCAGCAGACCUCAUGGAAACCACAGGAAUGUUCCUCCAAACCCACAGACUGCUCCGAACUGCAACCCAGACUAGUUGGAGGGGAGGAGCCUCCGCCUCUCGGCCCAGCGCUGCAGGCGUGGAGGAUAUGAGGGAAAGGCCAGAGGGAGCAGCCAGGCCUCGAAGCAGUGUGCCCAAGGCAUCCAGGAGUAGAGUGUACAUCAUGCAAAGGUGUGUCAGCCCAGUACAGAGAUCCAGAUUCCAACAAACCCAAAAACAACUAGCAGGACCUUCAGGAAGCAGGGGAUAAUCUACAGGUGGACCAUCACAGGCAGCGGUACAUGACCUGCAGGCUGUUCACCAUGGAGAGGGAGAUGGGAGCAGCUGGAGCAUUUGAUCCGGUAACACCUAUGAGUCAUUCUCCCCUCACACAGUUAAACAGACACACAAUGUGACACACUACACUCAUUUUGCCGUCUCAUUUCAGUGUGGUACAUGAACAACUGCACUUGACAGAUGGUUCUGGUUGAAAACCCUGCGCGCUGUGACAGCUACACGCAGAUGGAGGUGCAGGGUGGAGGGCUCCUCCACUGAUACAACCCAGAGGGACUGGGCACGGCCUCA